rnacentral:tRNA from 1 species
AGCAAGGUAGUUUAAAUAAAAUAUUUAUUUUACACGUAAAAGUUAUUCUUUAGGGAUUAUUGCUA